GUAGUGACCUGCGGAGGAUCAUUACUGAGUGGCUCGGCCUUUUGGCUGGUUACCCGACCUUUUGUCAUUCGCUCUGGGGGUUACCCGGGGCGCGGUUUCGGUCAAGAAACUCCCGAUAACAAGGGGGGGACGGGCCGAGCCGCGCACGGGCGACCUUCAGCAAUCAUAACUUCGGCGGAAGAGGUAGGCGUCGACCUGCCCGCCGCCGGCCGUAUUUUCCACUCUUGUGAGAAUCUGAAGCCUGUGAAAACAAAAGAAAUAAGAAAAGCAAAACUUUCAACAACGGAUCUCUUGGCUCUGGCAACGAUGAAGAACGCAGCGAAACGCGAAAGUUAAUGCGAAUUGCAGAAUCAGUGAGUCAUCGAGUUUUUGAACGCACAUUGCGCCUCUCGGUAUUCCGGGAGGCACGCCUGUUCGAGCGCCAUUACAAACUCCAAGCGUAGCUUGAUGUUGGACGAUGUCUUUCUCUGUCGGGAGUCUAGCACUUCUGGGAGGACACGUCUGGAACGCGUGGGCGCCGCCGCCGGACCACGAGCGUAGCAAGACGCAAGUCAUUUUCGCUCUGUAGGACAUUUCGGUCGGACGGUCUAGCCUUGUCACAACACACACACCAAAAGUUUGGCCUCGGAUCAGGCGGGGAUACCCGCUGAACUUAAGCAUAUCAAUAAGCGGAGGAAAAGAAACCAACCGGGAUUGCCCUAGUAACGGCGAGUGAAGCGGCAACAGCUCAAAUUUGAAAUCUGGAGCCUUCGGCUUCCGAGUUGUAAUUUGUAGAGGACGCCUCGGAGGGCGUGUCGGUCCAAGUGCCUUGGAACAGGAUACCGCAGAGGGUGAGAGUCCCGUAUCCGGCCGACGUCGCGCUCCGUGUGAGGCUCCUUCGACGAGUCGAGUUGUUUGGGAAUGCAGCUCCAAGCGGGUGGUAAAUUCCAUCUAAAGCUAAAUACUGGCCAGAGACCGAUAGCGAACAAGUAGAGUGAUCGAAAGAUGAAAAGCACUUUGAAAAGAGAGUCAAACAGUACGUGAAAUUGUUGAAAGGGAAGCGUAUGGGGGCAGACUUGGCCGCGGGGUUCAGGGCGUCUUCUGGCGCCUGUACUUCCCCGCGGACAGGCCAGCAUCGGUUCUGGGGGCCGGACAAAGGCGGCGGGAAUGUGGCUCGCUUCGGUGAGUGUUAUAGCCCGUCGUGCAAUGCGGCCACCCGGGACCGAGGACCGCGCCU
rnacentral:rRNA from 1 species